UGGUCUUGACAUAGAAAGAACUUUCCAGAGAUGGAUUGGUGCCUGCUUGCAGGAGCUUUCAUACAGGUGCUGCACGGCUGUCGUCAGCUCGUGUCGUGAGAUGUUGGGUUAAGUCCCGCAACGAGCGCAACCCUCGUCGUUAGUUGCUAACAGUUCGGCUGAGGACUCUAGACAGACUGCCUGGGUAACCAGGAGGAAGGUGAGGACGACGUCAAGUCAUCAUGGCCCUUACGGCCAGGGCUACACACGUGCUACAAUGGGGUAUACAGAGAGCCGCAAUACCGCGAGGUGGAGCAAAUCUUCAAAAUAUCUCCCAGUUCGGAUAGCAGUCUGCAACUCGACUGCUUGAAGUUGGAAUCGCUAGUAAUCGUGAAUCAGCAAUGUCACGGUGAAUACGUUCCCGGGUCU
rnacentral:rRNA from 1 species